rnacentral:rRNA from 1 species
AGAAUCAACGCUGGCGGCGUGCCUAACACAUGCAAGUCGAACGAGAAAGGGACUUCGGUCCUGAGUAUAGUGGCGCACGGGUGAGUAACACGUGAAUAAUCUACCUCCGAGUGGGGAAUAACUGGAAGAAAUUUCAGCUAAUACCGCAUAACACUUACGAGUCAAAGCAGCAAUGCGCUUGGAGAGGAGUUCGCGGCAGAUUAGUUAGUUGGCGGGGUAAUGGCCCACCAAGACGAUGAUCUGUAUCCGGCCUGAGAGGGCGCACGGACACACUGGAACUGAAACACGGUCCAGACUCCUACGGGAGGCAGCAGUGGGGAAUUUUGCGCAAUGGGGGAAACCCUGACGCAGCAACGCCGCGUGGAGGAUGAAGUAUCUUGGUACGUAAACUCCUUUCGAUGGGGAAGAUAAUGACGGUACCCAUAGAAGAAGCCCCGGCUAACUUCGCGCCAGCAGCCGC